rnacentral:rRNA from 1 species
UACGUAGGGGGGCAAGCGUUGUCCGGAUUUAUUGGGCGUAAAGAGCGUGUAGGCGGCCAGGUAGGUCUGCUGUGAAAACUCGAGGCUUAACCUCGAGCUGUCGGCGGAAACCAUCUGGCUAGAGUCCGGAAGAGGAGAAUGGAAUUCCCGGUGUAGCGGUGAAAUGCGCAGAUAUCAGGAAGAACACCAAUGGCGAAAGCAGCUUUCUGGGACGGUAACUGACGCUGAGACGCGAAAGCGUGGGGAGCGAACAGG